ensembl:lncRNA
AAUUCCUCCAAAAUGACGUUAGAGAUUGAUAAAGUCAUGUGGAAAAUGUACUGUAUGCCACUGCAAACCCGGAAGCUGCUUGCUUGACGGCAGAGAGCAGGAGACACGUGGUUUGAUAAAGCGAUAAAUUGCGGCUCGGGCUCAUUAACGACCUCUCUUCCUUGUUGCGGUGAUGCAGGUCGGACAUGAGGUGCUGGAGAGACGAGAACUGACGAGGAUUUCAGAACCUGGGUGUGUCCAAGGUGAUGGAUCCUUCAUGAGCUCUGGCUGCUGGGUUUCCUCAGGUGGAAAUGUUGUGAUUUUAAAGUAUUAAAUGUAAUUUAUUUUAAUUAAAUCUUUGUUUACUGACAAAUACAACUCGAUCUAUAUUUCAGUGAUAACAAUUUGUAGUAGGUACAUUUGUGUGUUCAAUAAAGCAUCUUUUUUGUAAAUCAAACUUUUGCAGGUUUUUAUUUCAAAUGUGUAAUUUGAAUUGUUUUUGCAGGAUGUGUUGGGCUUGGACUGUGCAAAGGACUUCUUUUUAAUUAUGGUUAAUGUGCCGUACAUUUGAAGUUGGGGCAAAAUGGGUAAAUGAAUAUUAAAAUUAGACUAGGAGCAUGUCUAAAUGGACCAGUCAAAACAUGUUUAAAGUGUAGUGGGGAAAAUGACUAAAUUAAAAUUCCUGUUGCCUAAUCUGCGAAAAGGCGUUACUGAAAGGUAUGAAAAGCAUCAGUAAAACUGAGGUCUUGACCUCAGUAUACACUCACUGGGCUCUGUCA